AUGACUGACAGAUAUGAAAUGGCCUGGUUUCACCAGUAUUCUCAACAACUAAAUCAACUAAUAUCUGCAAAGGUGAGCAGUGUGUCAGGAAGACUUCUAGUUAUGUACAAUCAAAACUGGAGUCAUCUAACCGUUGGAGAACACCAUGCAGAUGUGGGGAUCACCACAGUCAAGCUAGUUAUUUCUGGAGUAACAGAAACCGACUCAGGCCUUUAUUUCUGUGGAACAAAAUCAGUGACUUCAAAGACUUCAAAGAUGCACUUCGACAAACCCACCAGACUACAGAUCGAGGACAAGCUGACAGACAGAGAAGACCGAGUCCAUUCUGUCACAGAAACACCAGAGAUUGUUGAUGUCACAGAGGAAGUGACUACGAAAGAGAGGGCGUUGAUGUUUGGUGGUGUUGGUCUGGCGAUUGCAGUGUUUUUUCUGGCUACAGUCAUUGCAGGAGGAAUAAUUCACUAUCGCGGCUGGCAGAAAGGAUGGAGCGCCGCCAAACGCUCAUCUCUGAUUCAUCACAAUUCAGCUAAAUAACUUCUGUUUCUGCUUUAUUUCAAAGUCUAACUCAGUAUACCCAUGAGCUUUGCUUUGCUGUAGGUUACCACAAAUGUUGUAAAUGUCCCCUUUUUUAGCCCCAGUGAAAAUACUUGUUAAUAGUUGUGGUUAUUUCUCAAGGUUUUGUGGUUCACUUGUGAUUAUCAGUAAUAUAAAAACGCUGCUGCACUGUAAAAAAUCGAAUGAGCUGUUUACUUAAAAAAAAUGAAGGUAACAAUAUUACACAAAAUAUUUUUUGAGUAGUUCUUCAGGCUUGAUUUUAUAAUGGCAUCUAUCAUGUGAAAUCUCCUAAAUGAAUUAAUCUAUGACUCAAUUGAUUUAAUAUGAUUAGGGAAAUGUGCUCAUUUAUUUUAAGCUUAUUCUCAAAGAUCUGUGAAUGAGGUCUGUUUGUAUUCUAUUAUUUUAUACAUUUACAAGACUAUAUACAGCCAAUCAGCUCAAGUAGAAAAAUGCUUGAGAAAUACAGGAAAGUACUGCACUAGCAAAGCUACUGUUCAUUAAACAAGGCAUGAAACCACAAGCUCUGUGGAAACUUCGAUGUUACAGAAACUUACAAAUGUCAAACAUAACUGAACAUUAAACAUUAACAGAUGCUUCCCUUCACUCAAAAACAUAAAGUAGCAUUUCAUUUCAAAACUUACUCUCCAUAUCCAGCCACAUGCAAAGCAUGCGGGGAACUAACAAUCACCUCUAAAAUAAAACUGCAAAAUUGAGCUAAUUCUCUUAAAAUAAAUAGGCAGCCUUGUUUCAUUAAUUAUUUUAGUUUAACCAGUUCCCCAAUUCAAGCACCAAAACUGCCUCCUUAAAAAAAAUGGUUUUAUUAGUAAAAGGUCCUCAUUAUUUUCUAUACAACACUGAAUCACUAUUUCUUUAAUGAAAUCCAUACAUUAUUUUUAAUUAUCACCUUAUUUUUUUUUAAUGAAAAUUACAAGACCAAUGAUUCAUUUUUUACAGUGUUCUGAUGUCUGUCUUUAAUGCAGUUUUUAUUUACAAUGUAUAAAGUCAAAGUAUGUUUUACGCACCUGUUUAUGUAGAGAAAGAGCACAAAAAGUAUAUCAUUUUAUAUAUGUCUAGCUGGAUCUUCACAUUAUAAAUUAUUAUCCAGAGGAGCAUUAAUGUACAUAUAAGAGGGGUUCAAGAGGAAAUGCUAUUAAAUAAAAUUGUCUUCAAUGUUAAACGUGUUAUUGAGAGCAAAACUAAGAGAUCACAUUUGUUUGUGCAUUUUUCAGUCUGGUCUCAUGUUCAUAUGUAGGUUUUAAUAUGUAAUAUUUACAAGCACAAAGCAUACAUUUUUAAACUCCCAUUAAAAGAAAUGAAGCAGUUACACUAUGAAAUAUAAGUCAAACUGCACAUUUCACCCAAAAUUGUUUUGUGUGAUACAAUUCCAAAUUUAGGAGGCCAGAGCGAGGGCUAAAGCUUGUUGACACGGGACAAAUGUGUGUGUACAGAGUAAUCAAACAAUUCUCACAUCAAUGUAGAAAACAUUUGAUUGCACUGAGUUAUCGAUGUAGAAUACUUUAAAACUUACAUUAAUAAAAAAGUAUUAUCAUAAUCAGUGCAUAAUGAUAAACAUAGGGUGAUAUCAGGUAAAAUGGGCGAUUAAAGGUUUGGGGGUCCUAGUCCCUCUGGAAUUUAGAACCAAUGACUACAAAAUACUUCAAACUAUUGUCAUAACUGUGCUUGACAAGUAACAGGUGAUUCAAUUGGUUUAUGGUUGCUAUGGUGGGUGGGGUAAUAAUUCUUUUCAAGACUGCACCAGAGAGCUGCAUGGUAAGUAGCCUGGCAUACCAAAUGUAACUAAACCAUUAUAAGGAUGAUAAAUCUAUAAAAAAAAUAAAAAAAACAUGCACAUAAAAAAUAUGCAUAAUAUCUGUAUUGAUGGCAUCAAUCAGAAAUAAUGUUGUUAGUUUGGUAUAGGAACAUAUUUUUUGAAAAAGUGAUGUUUUUCUUGGCGGCCCAAUUUACCUUAAGCCACUGAGGUAAAAUGGGCCACAUGGUUUCAGCUAAAAUGGGCCAUCAUCUGUGUCACUCACAAACACACAUACACAUGAGUGUUUGAGUGUGUGAGUGUGUGUGUGUGUGUGUGACACGCCCUCACUCACACACACACACACACUCACCAUGACACUUCACCAUCUGUGGGAAGAGGAGAGGAUAAAGGAGGCCUUAGAUGAAUGCAGGAAGGGAGUGAAGAAAGGAAUUACAUUGAGUGUGCACCUCUUAUCACAAGCAUGGGGUGUGCCACGAUCCACACUGCAAAGACUCGUCAGUGGAAAGGUGUCUAGCAGUGAACAUGCGUCAGGGCGGAAGCCCUACCUUCCAGAGGAGGCGGAAAGGGAGCUUAAACAAAAAAGUAAUCCAGCAAGCAACCAGCCAAGCAAGCCAGCAAGUACCCAGGCAGCAAGCAACCAAAAUGAAAAAAAAAAAACAGGGCAAGAGAAGCAAAUCACCUUGCAAAGCCUGCAACACCCACUAUGGUGACACAAAUGACCUUAAUGCUACUGAGGAAUGGGUAAAAUGUGAUCCAUGUUCUGCCUGGUUUCAGAUGAUUCUUCUGCACAAUCUGACUUUGCUGCAGUCUGGAAUUGAACUACUGGUUUCGUCUGGUCAGAGGAGAACUGACCCCCCAACUGAGCCUGGUUUCUCCCAAGGUUUUUUCUCCAUUCUGUCAUUGAUGGAGUUUCGGUUCCUUGCCGCUGUCGCCUCUGGCUUGCUUAGUUGGGGUCACUUCAUCUACAGCGAUAUCAUUGACUUGAUUGCAAAUGAAUGCACAGACACUAUUUAACUGAACAGAGAUGACAUCACUGAAUUCAAUGAUGAACUGCCUUUAACUAUCAUUUUGCAUUAUUGACACACUGUUUUCCUAAUGAAUGUUGUUCAGUGUAUUUUGUUUGAAGCGCUAUAUAAAUAAAGGUGAUUGAUUGAUUGAUUGAUGAGAGCUGUGGUGAAGAGAAUGGUAUCUGUGAUGACGAUGGUUUCAUUUGCAAAGACUGUGUUUGAAAAAUGUUUUCAUCACACACAUACAAAUCAGUUAUCAGUUAUCAACUUUGAAUGUGAAUUUUUGCCAUUUUCACAUUUCGUUCUAAAUGUAUUGUUCACACACACACACACACACACACACACACACACACACACACACACACACACACACACACACACACACACACACACACACCUGUUGUUGUUCCAAAAUUGACUUUUUUAAAUGCACAUUUGAAUAUUUGGGUUUGCACCCAAAAUGAUUUUUUUUUAAUGGCACAUAUGAAUAUGUUUGUUUAAUGCAGUUUAAAUGUUAUGUGGCUGUAUAAGCAGUUGUGUUUUAAAAUUAAAAGAAUUAUGAUAAAUUACUAUUUCUUUUUGCAGUUUGACCAGCUCAUUUUACCUGAAACUGCUCAUGCAAAAAAAGUUGGCACAACGGAUGUUUCAAGAACUGUAGGGCCUAAAUAAUUAUAUUUUAUUACACAAUUUCAAUACAAAAUUAUUAAAAACAGUCAUUAUUAAUCAUAAAUACACAUGGAAUAGGCAUAUAUGGUAUUGUAUUAUUGUCCCAAACGAUUUACCAAAAAGUGGCCCAAUUUAGCUGAUAUCACCCUAUUGAAUUUUUUAGCACCCUUAGCAUUAUUAGCAGGUUAUAAAGCAAACCCUUUUCAACAAAUAAAUAAACUAUUAGUAUAAUGAGACAAAAACACACAGGCUUUAUAUUUAAAACUUACAUUGUAAAAGUUCUGCAUGACUUUUAGAUUCUGGCUGUUUAAAUUCAGUAAACCACUGCACAUUUAGUGAGAUAUGAGUAAUGACAAAACCACAAGUAUCACCCCCCCCCCCCACACACACACACACACAGGUCAAAGUCUUUCACAGAGUCUGUGUUUGGCUCCUCCCACUAAAGGAGAGUCUGUGUUUGGCUCCUCCCACUAAAGGAGAGUCUGUGUUUGGCUCCU
rnacentral:lncRNA from 1 species